CAGCAGCCGCGGGAAUACGAGGGGGGCAAGCGUUGUUUGGAAUUAUUGGGCGUAAAGGGUGCGUAGGCGGUUUGAUAAGUUUGAUGUGAAAUCUCUGGGCUCAACCCAGAGUCUGCAUCGAAAACUGUCGGGCUUGAGUAUGGGAGAGGUGAGUGGAAUUUCCGGUGUAGCGGUGAAAUGCGUAGAUAUCGGAAGGAACACCUGUGGCGAAAGCGGCUCACUGGACCAUUACUGACGCUGAUGCACGAAAGCUAGGGGAGCAAACAGGAUUAGAUACCCCCGUAGUCCCUGUCUCUUAUAC
rnacentral:rRNA from 1 species